rnacentral:misc_RNA from 1 species
UGGGCUACGACCACGAUGGUG